rnacentral:tRNA from 1 species
GCCGGGGUGGUGAAACUGGUAGACGCGCCGGAUUCAAAAUCCGGUUCCCGUGAGGGAGUGUCGGUUCGAUUCCGACCCUCGGCACCA